rnacentral:rRNA from 1 species
ACUGCUCAGUAACACGUGGACAACCUGCCCUUAGGUUGGGUAUAAACCCGGGAAACUGGGUAUAAUACCCGAUAGGUCUCGAUUGCUGGAAUGCAUCGAGAUUUAAAGCUCCGGCGCCUAAGGAUGGGUCUGCGGCCUAUCAGGUAGUAGUGGGUGUAGCGUACCUACUAGCCUACGACGGGUACGGGUUGUGAGAGCAAGAGCCCGGAGAUGGAUUCUGAGACACGAAUCCAGGCCCUACGGGGUGCAGCAGGCGCGAAAACUUUACAAUGCUGGCAACAGCGAUAAGGGAACCUCGAGUGCCAGGUUACAAAUCUGGCUGUCGAGAUGCCUAAAAAGCAUUUCAUAGCAAGGGCCGGGCAAGACCGGUGCCAGCCGCCGCGGUAACACCGGCGGCUCGAGUGGUAACCGUUAUUAUUGGGUCUAAAGGGUCUGUAGCCGGCCGGAUAAGUCUCUUGAGAAAUCUGGCAGCUUAACUGUCAGGCUUUCAGGAGAUACUGUCUGGCUCGAGGCCGGGAGAGGUGAGAGGUACUUCAGGGGUAGGGGUGAAAUCUUGUAAUCCUUGAAGGACCACCAGUGGCGAAGGCGUCUCACCAGAACGGACCUGACGGCAAGGGACGAAAGCUAGGGGCACGAACCGGAUUAGAUACCCGGGUAGUCCUAGCCGUAAACGAUACUCGCUAGGUGUCGGCCACGGUGCGACCGUUGUCGGUGCCAUAGGGAAGCCGUGAAGCGAGCCACCUGGGAAGUACGGCCGCAAGGCUGAAACUUAAAGGAAUUGGCGGGGGAGCAC